CCUACGGGCGGCAGCAGUGGGGAAUAUUGCACAAUGAGCGAAAGCCUGAUGCAGCAACGCCGCGUGAAGGCAGAAGGGUUUCGGCUCGUAAACUUCUAUCAACAGGGACGAAAGAAAUGACGGUACCUGAAUAAGAAGCCCCGGCUAACUACGGGCCAGCAGCCGCGGUAAUAUGUAGGGGGCAAGCGUUAUACGGAAUUACUGGGGGGAAAGGGUGAGUAGGCGGCAUGGUAAGCCAUAGGUGAAAGCCUCGGGCUUAAACCGUGGAUUGCAUUUGGUACUAGCAAGCUAGAGUAAAGGAGAGGAAAGCGGAAUUCCUAGUGUAGCGGUGAAAUGCGUAGAUAUUAGGAAGAACACCAGUGGCGAAGGCGGCUUUCUGGACUGAAACUGACGCUGAGGCACGAAAGCGUGGGGAGCGAACAGGAUUAGAUACCCUUGUAGUC
rnacentral:rRNA from 1 species